rnacentral:piRNA from 1 species
AGGGGAAGCAAGGCAUGUCGUACUUGGUGU